rnacentral:rRNA from 1 species
GACGACGCUGGCGGCGUAGCUUAAAACAUGCAAAGUCGAACGGACUUCUCAUGAAGCUUGCGAUUGAGAAGUUAGUGGCGGACGGGUGAGUAACGCGUGGGCAACCUGCCCCUGAGCCCGGGAUAACAGUUCGAAAGGACUGCUAAGACCGGAUAUACUUGCGGGGAAGCAUUUCACUGCAAGGAAAGGGAACGCUCAGGGAUGGGCCCGCGUCCCAUUAGCUAGUUGGUGAGGUAACGGCCCACCAAGGCGACGAUGGGUAGCCGGCCUGAGAGGGUGAACGGCCACACUGGGACUGAGACACGGCCCAGACUCCUACGGGAGGCAGCAGUUGGGAAUCUUCGGCAAUGGGCGCAAGCCUGACCGAGCAACGCCGCGUGAGUGAUGAAGGUUUUCGGAUUGUAAAGCUCUGUCUUCCGGGACGAUAAUGACGGUACCGGAGGAGGAAGCCACGGCUAACUACGUG